rnacentral:rRNA from 1 species
GGCAGGCUUAACACAUGCAAGUCGAGCGCCUCGCAAGGGGAGCGGCAGACGGGUGAGUAACGCGUGGGAAACUACCCUUUGGUACGGAACAACUCCGGGAAACUGGAGCUAAUACCGUAUGAGCCCUUCGGGGGAAAGAUUUAUCGCCAUAGGAUGUGCCCGCGUAGGAUUAGCUAGUUAGCGGGGUAAUGGCCCACCAAGGCGACGAUCCUUAGCUGGUCUGAGAGGAUGAUCAGCCACACUGGGACUGAGACACGGCCCAGACUCCUACGGGAGGCAGCAGUGGGGAAUAUUGGACAAUGGGCGCAAGCCUGAUCCAGCCAUGCCGCGUGAGUGAUGAAGGCCUUAGGGUUGUAAAGCUCUUUCGCACGCGACGAUAAUGACGGUAGCGUGAGAAGAAGCCCCGGCUAACUUCGUGCCAGCAGCCGCGGUAAUACGAAGGGGGCUAGCGUUGUUCGGAAUCACUGGGCGUAAAGCGCGCGUAGGCGGACCGUUAAGUCGGAGGUGAAAGCCUGGAGCUCAACUCCAGAACUGCCUUCGAUACUGGCGGUCUCGAGUCCGGUAGAGGUGAGUGGAACUGCUAGUGUAGAGGUGAAAUUCGUAGAUAUUAGCAAGA